GAUGAACGUUGGCGGCGUGCCUAACACAUGCAAGUCGAGCGGCAGCGCGUCCGACCACCCUCGGGUGGUCGGAUGGCGGCGAGCGGCGGACGGGUGAGGAAUGCAUCGGAAUCUGCCUCGUUGUGGGGGAUAACGUAGGGAAACUUACGCUAAUACCGCAUACGACCUACGGGUGAAAGUGGGGGACCUUCGGGCCUCACGCGAUGAGAUGAGCCGAUGCCGGAUUAGCUAGUUGGCGGGGUAAAGGCCCACCAAGGCGACGAUCCGUAGCUGGUCUGAGAGGAUGAUCAGCCACACUGGAACUGAGACACGGCCCAGACUCCUACGGGAGGCAGCAGUGGGGAAUCUUAGACAAUGGGCGAAAGCCUGAUCUAGCCAUGCCGCGUGGACGAUGAAGGCCUUAGGGUUGUAAAGUCCUUUUCAGAUGGGAAGAUAAUGACGGUACCAUCAGAAGAAGCCCCGGCUAACUACGUGCCAGCAGCCGCGGUAAGGAG
rnacentral:rRNA from 1 species